CGAACGCUGGCGGCGUGGAUAAGACAUGCAAGUCGGACGCUUGAUUUUGUAGCAAUAUGAGGAUACGGGAGUGGCGAAAGGGUGCGUAACACGUGGGUAAUUGCCUGAGAGUUCAGGAUAAUUCGCUGAAAGGCGGAGUAAUACUGGAUGUGGAUAUUGGUUGGGAACAGCUGAUAUCUAAAGCCGGGGACCGCAAGGGCCUGGUGCUCUUAGGUAAGCCCGCGACCUAUCAGCUAGUUGGUGAGGUAAGAGCCCACCAAGGCGGAGACGGGUAGCUGGUCUGAGAGGACGACCAGCCACACUGGAACUGAGACACGGUCCAGACACCUACGGGUGGCAGCAGUCGAGAAUUUUUCUCAAUGGGGGAAACCCUGAAGGAGCGACGCCGCGUGGGGGAUGAAGGGCUUUCCGGCUCGUAAACCCCUGUCAUUUGUGAGCAAGUGUUAUUGUUUAAGAGAUGAUGACAUUGAUAGUAGCAAAAGAGGAAGGGACGGCUAACUCUGUGCCAGCCGCCGC
rnacentral:rRNA from 1 species